GAUCGCGUUAGGGACCCUUUCGCCUGUCAGAAUGCUGCCCUCUGGGGUGAAGUUUAGUCUUGUGGACAUGGUUUCUUUUUUUGGUGGAUCAGUAGCAGCAUCAACAGCAUCACUAACAGCAGCAUCAACAACAUCACUAACAGCUGCAUCAAUAGCUUUCUCUUCAGUAUCUCUUAUCUCCUGCAAACAGCGUUAAAAGGAUUACCAAUCCCUGAACAAAUCUCAUCAGACUUUGACAUUAUUUGGGCUUCACAAACUUCUCACCUCCACAGCCAUUGG
rnacentral:lncRNA from 1 species